UUAUAUUCGUUCCUUGCUUCCGUUGGAUGACUGAGCCAGCUUGGAAGCUGAAUAAUCCGUAAGGAGCAA
rnacentral:ncRNA from 1 species